rnacentral:lncRNA from 10 species
CUUCAGCCCAAACCAUAAGGUCCAUCUCACCUUCACUGCAACAAAGAAGGGUUGUUAAAGCUGGACACAGAGACAUGUUUCAUCACAUUACCCAAGCUGUUUUCGAACUCCUGAGCUCAAGCGAUCUACGCACCUCAGCCUCCCAAGUUCCUGGGAUUACAGAUUUUUCUUCAGUGAAAAGCUGGUCCACCAUCACUGAAGCAGAAGUCUUAAUUAUCUUUUCAUAAGUAUCUCAAGCUGAAAAGAAAGCAGCAGAGUUUGA